ACCAAAUUACUGUUGUGCACAUUGAACUCUCUGUGCACCUCCAUGCAUGUCUUCAUCAUCUUCGUCAUAUGCCUCUUGGGCCUGUUGCUGCUUCCUCCGCAUCUCCUCUUCGAUGUUAACAUCAUGUAAGGUGGUCUCCUCGCACUCGUCCAAUUCCAUAUCAGUCAUUUGUGUUUUCGGUUUUGGUGGCAAUACUGCUUCAAGGUUCUUGCAUUGCUCGGGGGAUAAUGUGUCGGGGAAUUCUACAGUAAAGUGAAUGUAUAGUUUUCCUCUCAUAAAUGGUCUUUGGUACAUAGGCAUUCCUUCAUCAUUUAUGGCUUUAAAUUGAUCUGUCGUGGCCAAAAACAAAGUUCACGAUUGAUAUCUAUGAGCAGAGAUUCACAUAUAAAGCAUAAUUGAUACCAUAGAGAUAAAAAAGGACACCAAAUUUCAACGAACAGCAGGAGAGACAUAGUGUGUGCAUGAAGAAAACAAUUAGACUUACACUCGCUGUAUUAGGGAGACAACGAUAUAUCAAGAAGUCCUAGGCAUAUAUCAGAAUGUAAAAGCAAUUAAAGUAUACUUUGGGCUUACCAGGCUUGACAACUUCUCCGGGUUGGGGUUUGAUGAUCAGCUGCCUAUUAUCUAGGUGAGUCAAGAUGAACUGGAAACCACAUAGGGCCUCGGUUAAGCUCAAGGUGUGCUCUACAAAGAGAUCAUCUCCCUUUCGCUUAAACUUGGGAUGUUCCUUCUGUUGCAAGACAAAAACUAUGUCCCCAGUGACGGUAUCAGGCUGCCACAAAAAGUAAACAUAAACAAUGUGAAAAAUCAAUGGUCCCCUUUUUUGGUUGAUAAUAACAUACAAAAUGGUCAUUAUGACAUAAUCUACUUCAAAAGCUAAAUUGAAUGUCUUACUGCUUCAUCAGCUUCGCCCGGGAAUGUUAUCUUCUGUCCGUUCUGCAUACCCUUCUCGACAACAACUUCCAACACCUUCUUCUCCUGCACAACCUUCUCACCUUUACACUGCCCACACCUAUCUUUAUCAUUGAUCAUCUCACCAGUACCCUUACACUCGUUGCAAGGGUGCUGCAUCUGCUGGAUCAUGGAUGGGCCAAGUUGUCUAAUAGUGACUUUCAUCCCAGACCCUUGACAGCCAGAACACUUCAUUGAAGCACCUGAUUUAGAUCCUUUCCUGGUAAUAAAAAUAUAGUAUAAACCCCAGCAGAACUUCAUAGGGAAAGAUGAUAAAAUGAUGUCGAAACGUAACUAAUAACAUCCUAAACUCACCCCUUGCACUUCGAGCACAAUACAUUGCGAGAUAGUGACAGCUUCUUUGAUGUUCCAUUGUACAGAUCCUCCAGAGAAACUUUGAGAGGGUGUACAACAUCCUCUCCUCUUCUUUGUCUUCUUCCUCUGCUGCUUCCACCACCUCCUGGACAUCAAAUAAAGGAAUAUCAGAGACUGAAAGUAACAUGAAAAGGAAUCAACAAAUUCAACAUCAAACAAACAGCCAUAGAAACAUACCACCAAAUGGGCUGCCACCAAAGAAAGAUGAGAAAAUGUCAAAUGGGUCGUGUCCACCACCUCCACCGCCCAUUCCUUCCUUGAGAGCAUCUUCUCCAUACUGAUCAUAUAUCUCACGCUUCUCGGGAUCACUCAGAACCUCAUAAGCUUGUGCAAGCUCUUUAAACUGAAAUAAACAAAAAAUUGCAGCUAAUUCAUUGAUAAGACUCCACAGUAAUUGACAUCAUUAUCCUUCAAUUAAGAAAGAUUAUUAAUACAGCGACCAUAGUAAAUAAUGUGACACUAAGAGUGCAUACUCAGGGAAGUUAAAGCAAACUCUUGAUUUGAAACAUGGUGUCCAUUACGAACAUACAUAGUAUCCGUUCAAUCCCAAUAACAGACAAUUGAAGUGUGUCUAACAUCAGAAUUCCUGUUGAGCUGAGGAGGUUUGAGGGUUCAAUUACACAACAAAGAAGCUUCACACCAACACAUUCAAAGCUUCCUAUUUCUGCUAAGCAGCAAAAUUAGAUCUAAAAAUCUACCUUUUCCUCCAAGAGAUCAGCUUAAUUACAGCAACUAUCAAGCAACCAUGCCCGAUGGAUAUUAAGGUUCAGUCCAGCUAACAUAUCAAACUAGUUAGUCAGCUUAUUUAGGGCAAUGGAUAGAAUUAAAUUCUCCAUUCAAUUUUACCACCAGAAAUCACUUUUCUAAGCUCAAAGAAAACCUACAGAUAAAGCUAUGAUGGAUCUAAACUAAACCAAAAGAAUUCCAAAACACCCAUUUGUAUAAAAGAUACACAAACAAAAUACAAUUGAGAUAAUCUAUGAAAAAUUGAUGCCGAGGCAAAUCCAGUAUUUAAACACGCCAGAUGCACUACAUAACACACACAUACACACUCAUAUACAUAUUUCACUUUUUCUAUGUAAGUUCGCGUUCGAGAGAUUUAGGGCAUGUACACCCACUGCUUAUAUGCUUGAUCAGCUGAGGUAAAUCCAGUAUUUAAACAUGAUGACUGCACUUCUUAAAACACACACAUACACAGAGACACAUAUGUAUACAUAUUUCAAUUUUUUCUGUAAAUUUGCGUUCAAGAGAUUGAGUGCUCGUACACCCACUGUUUAUAUGCUGGAUCAACUGUGGUGAAAACAAUAACCAAGUAGCUGUACCCUUUCAGGAUCACCUACCAUUUGUAUAAAAUCACAUACAAAAAGAAAUGAUUGCAAAAUGAGAUAAUCUCUACAGACAAACUCCAUAAACACAAAACAAUUUUAUAAAGAUGGUUGCACUUCUUCACACAUUCUAAAUUUCUCAGUAAAUUUGAGCUUGGGAGACUUGGAAUGUACACUCACUGCUUAUAUGCUUGAUCAGCUGAGGCAAACCCAGUACUUAAUCACGAUCUACACUUCUAAAUGAACACACACAUCCACAUAGAUACACAGACGUACACACAUUUCAAUUUUUUCAGCAAAUUUGCAUUCAAGAAAUUUAGUGCACAUAACCCACUACUUAUAUGCUAGAUUAGUUCAGGUAAAACAGAAAAAAAUAGCUGUACCUUUUCAGGAUCACCUCCCUUAUCAGGAUGGUUCUUAAUAGCAGCUUUACGGUAAGCUUUCUUGAGAUCUUCCGGUGCAGCAGUCUUAGGGACACCUAAGAUCUCAUAGUACUUCGUGUUGUCGCUCUUCUUCGGUGCCCUCCCAAACAUCUUCUAUCGCUUAAUUUAGUC
rnacentral:lncRNA from 1 species